UAUAAACUUCAUAAUAUUGUUGUUAUUGUUAAUUCUAGACCAAGCUAUGCGAAUUGGGGAGGAGAACAAAAACGAUUUCCCAUUUUGCAGAGAUGGUGUGAAAAGAAAACUCUUUUGGCCAUUUCCACAGCAUUUUGAAAAAUAGUUGGCCAAUACUUUUGUUCGCAGAUGUAUAACGUCUUACAACAAAAAUAGAAACAGCAUAGCAGUUUACCAUCAUUCGCAAGUUUCUAAGGCUUUUGGCUGAGAAAAUUUUCAAAAAAUAUUUUGAGAAACAAUACCAUAUACAUUUUAUGAUUCUUCAAAAAAUUGCCGCUAUUUAAAAGAAAACACUUCGCAUUCAUA